rnacentral:tRNA from 1 species
AGCGGGGUAGGCCAGCCUGGUAGGCCGCGGGGCUCAUAGCCCCGAGGUCCCCGGUUCAAAGGGGGCCUAAACCCCCGA